rnacentral:rRNA from 1 species
ACGAACGCUGGCGGCGUGCUUAACCCAUGCAAGUCGAACGGAAAGGCCCUGCUUUUGUGGGGUGCUCGAGUGGCGAACGGGUGAGUAACACGUGAGUAACCUGCCCUUGACUUUGGGAUAACUUCAGGAAACUGGGGCUAAUACCGGGUAGGAGCUCCUGCUGCAUGGUGGGGGUUGGAAAGUUUCGGCGGUUGGGGAUGGACUCGCGGCUUAUCAGCUUGUUGGUGGGGUAGUGGCUUACCAAGGCUUUGACGGGUAGCCGGCCUGAGAGGGUGACCGGCCACAUUGGGACUGAGAUACGGCCCAGACUCCUACGGGAGGCAGCAGUGGGGAAUAUUGCACAAUGGGCGGAAGCCUGAUGCAGCAACGCCGCGUGCGGGAUGACGGCCUUCGGGUUGUAAACCGCUUUCGCCUGUGACGAAGCGUGAGUGACGGUAAUGGGUAAAGAAGCACCGGCUAACUACGUG